UUUGUAUCUGCAUCCUUCAGAUAAUCCUGGACAGAUAAUUGUUUCUGCUGCUCUCGAUGGAGAUAAUUUCAAUGAAUGGAAGCACUCCAUGACUCUGGCACUAUCUGCGAAGAACAAGCUUGGAUUUGUUACUGGAUUGAUGUCACUGUGGCAAUUUUGUAUGCCAUACUUUCCUCCGUCCUGGUUAUCUCGUCAUAUGUGACCCUUUACUUCCGACACUUUUGGCUUUCAUUUUUCAUUGUAUGCCUUGGUAUACUUCUUCCCAUUUGCUUGAGAAGUUCUAGGCAGGCACUCGCAAAAAAGAGGGAAAGAAGAAUGUUAUUACCGUUGUCCAUGUGAAAGUACGACCUACAGGUAGGCCAGUAAUUAUCCAUAUUCGCACACUAACUAAUAACUAUUGAGAAUACUGUGCUUCGUGUGCGACUCCCACAAGUUGAUUUUGGUCAAAAAUAGCCAUGGAAGCCUACUUCAGUAUAUGAGGUAUAGCUUAAAUCCCCUUUUCACUACCCAUACUCAGAUUUUUUCCGACGGUGGCCAACUCUUUCACCUGUAAACUCACACAUGCAAGAGAGCUAUAGAUUACCACAUUUGUCAUUUUUGUUCUCCUUUGGCCUGUAUCCCAAAUUGAUAUCAGGUUAUCAGUUUAAUUCUUUGUAUUAAACAGAUGAAAAUUUCAAAAUUUUCAUCCACAGAUGUAUCUUUUGGUUAAUUAUUUCAAGAUUUCGGGGGUGUA